CAUGUGGAGGUAAAGGAUAACGGGAAGCGCUGCUGUCUGCUUUCACCAGGCGGGUUCCAAGGGUUGAACCAAGCCAUACAGGCUCAGUGGCAAGCACCUUUACCGCUGAGCCAUCUUAUAGGCCUAUAAAACAAAUUUUAAAACCACCAUCUACAGUCUCUGGAGCGAGAAAGGCAUGUAGACUGAAGAUUACAAAGUCAAGGGAUAAAGCACGGAAGAGACAAAAGUGAGAGAAACAAACCAGAAAAUGAUUCUUAAAAACAACAAACAAACCCACCAGAUGCAAAUUAGAAGAAGCAGGAGGUAGCCCACCAGGGCCUCCUUAGCUUACUGGCGCCUCACUCAGCCCAGCAAAGCCCUGGAUCUGACCCCACACACAAGGAACCACAUGAAGCAGGAAGCAGAAUGCAACAUGAAAACUUGGAGCUUUCCAGAGACACGAAGAGCUGGGGACGACAUAAGAAAAUCCCACACUUAUCUGUCAGGCUUCUCUUCUGGUGCAAAGGAAAAAGAACAAGACUUUUAAGAGAAAAUAGCUUUAGAGUUUCCUAGAUUGAAGAAAGGUUACUACUGAACUUGUAAGUUAGGAAGCAGAGACUCAAGCAAGCUAUAAAUUCAACAAAAUUCACCCUCAGACAGAAUAAAACCAUACGACAUCCAAGAUACAGUCAGCGGUGCCCCAGCGAGAGAGCAGAAUGCUGGACAGUCAGCUGUGGAACAAGGCAAGGCAGAAGAGGGUGGAACCACGUCUUCAGAAGUAGAUGCUGGGGCCUGGGGUGCGGCUCAGCUGCCAGAGCCUGCCUUGAAUGCUAACCACCUAUGAAUCAAGGGAAAGUUAAGAAGAGAGAAGGUACUAACAAAUAAGGGCAGAUAAAGACACGAACACAUACACAAACACAAAGUGAGUGUAAUAGACAUUCAAACAAAACAGGGAGGUCAGAGGGCAAGAGCAUGAUCUCAAAAGCUACAGGCAUUAACUGUGGGAGCUCUGCAGCCAGGAUGCAAGCCACGCAGUUUCCCUGGCUUCGUCCCUAGUUUGGUUGCUUCACAAAGGUCUUAGUGACUUGAACAACCUCACAUUUACUAAUCAGCAAUGCAGUACUUUCUCCCCAAAUCCUGGAGAAAUGCAGUCCAAACGUAUAAGCUAGAGAGGUCGUUUGUUUCAUUAACCAGAGAAAGAGGGGGACAUGGCAGAAAGGAGGGGGAGGGGAAGGAAAGGGGCAGAGGGGAGGAGGAGAAAGAUGGAUUUCAUAUAUGUAACAUGCUCAAAGGCUGGGAGACAGCACUCAUGGAGGUGAGGAAGGCUGUGUGAACCACCAGAGCAGAGGUUGCCAUACUGGGAAGGGAGGGGACAGUAAGCCAAGCUCACCAAGGAGUGAAAGGGUGGUGCCACAGACAGACCUGCGUGGAGACAGGUUGAGGAGCCACCAGCACUGCUGCACCAUGCCCCAGGGGAUGUGCUAGCCACUAUCUAGACAGCCUCCUUGCUUACAAGGUAAAACUGCUGCCCCUUUAAUAGACUGAAAAGACUGGUAAUAUGCCUUUAAGGUUGUUUUUUCUUUUAUUUCAGCUAAGGCUCUUUGAAGAAACCUACAUGAAACAGACAUAAUCACAUGACUGUAGCUGUGUGUGUGUAAGAGAGAAAGGGAGAGAAGGUCUAUGUGUGUGGGGGAGAGAGGGUGGGGGGAGAGCUGGAGAAAACUUUGCUCAUAAAGCUUAAUUCUCUUCCCACAGCAAAAUGAAUCUGCUAACUUUCUUUCUGCAGUAAGCAUGUAUAACAGGAAUAUAAACCUAAACAGAGCAUGCUCAGGAAUGCGCCCAGCCCUACAUGUGCAUUCCUAUAUGAGCAUGUGUGGGUCUCCUGAUAAACUCUCUUUGUUUAAGAAGAGCACUGCCUUCAAAUAAUGUCAGUGCCCUCCUUCCUCGAGGUUAAGUCUCCCUGCCCUCAUUUGGUUGUGUGACGGGGCUGUGCACAUCUUGUUCUGUUGUUAAUCUACUUCUGCUAUUAUGUCCACCUCUGCCCUGAGAAUCCCUCCCCUUUGCUGAAGCCGUCAGAGACCCAAGUGCAAGCUGCUGCCGUGGAACACGGCCCCACAAGGCACGCUAGACUGGGCAGAGGAGCAUGCCCACCGGCAGCAGAGGCAGCAUCAGUGUUAGCACCACCAGAACUGGGAGCUGGAGAGAGGGCCCAGAGGUGAGCAAGCAUGGUGCCCACAGCCAAAGUCACAGAACCCAACAGACUGUCAAGGAUCCAGAUGGCCCUAACAUUUGGAAAUCGCAUGCUGGUUUUUCAUUCAGCAUUUUAAAUACAUGCUGCCACCACCCACAUCAUCAGACCCAGCGGACAUUUUCUUAACUCAGUUGAAGCUCAUAAAAAUAAGGGGAAGUCAAUUACAAAGAACAUCCUUCCUUGAAAUUUUAUCUCUCUUCAUGGAGAGAAGACCUGUUCUAUGGCAUGUGAAACCACAGAGGAGAGCUGGUUUGCUGGCUCAGUUUUCAGACACUGCCUGUGAACACAGGCUGACAGGGAAGUCCAUCUGAAAUCACAGCAGCCAAGUGCAUGGCUCCUGACUGCUAACAGAAGACCAUUCUCACUCCGUGCACAUUAGGAUUCCCGCUCAUGUCCAAGUCAACGCCGCCACCCACUUGUUUCCUUGCCAUGGUGAGAGCUGUGUAAGGAAGCACUGUCUGCAGACUCCUGAUUUAAUGCACAGUACAGCUUCUGAGUGAUAACUGAAGGCCACCCUCCACAGUGUCACAUACUGAAGUCACAAGCUUCUUCACUUAGCAUUUUCAUGUCAAAGCUUUAAAAAACAUUCCUUUGCUCAAUGGUGUAAAAGGUACACAAAAGUCAGCUAAAAAAAAGUUUAUGAAAUCGCAGUAUAAGAUAAUGCUAUUGACACUAAAUGACACUAAAAAGGACAGUGGUUUUCAUUACAAUAAUAAAGUACAUUCUCUAAUCGGCUAUCCCCCAUUUUGGUAGUUAUAAAAGCGAAAAUCUUCUGGCUAGGCGGAUUCACAUAC
rnacentral:sRNA from 1 species